UGUCAUCUUUUUUAGCCGCGUCGUCUUCGUCACCGUCUCUUAGAUCUGUCGCCGUUUCUAUAUCUCAGUUGGAAUUCAUGUUCUCAGAGAUGAAAGGGAGGGAUUGUUGGGAAAUGGAUACAAUUUUUUCGUCGGAGCGUUGGAUCUGAGGCUCUUGGACAGUAGAAGGGAGGAAUCUGUCACGGUGACGAAUCAAGUUGAGAACUUUAAACUAGGAGUUAGGAGAAGAAGAUUUGGGGACAAAACAUAGGUUUACAUCCAUGUGAUACAAGAAUACGUCAUCGGUGAUAUUAUACAACAUUAAAAAUUACAUGGAGAAGAAGUUUCAAAAGUUGGAGGUCUAAAGAGUGUGAAGAAUUCACAAAGUUAUAAGUACAAGAGUAGUAUGAAACUAUCUUUUAAUUUGUAUUUUACU
rnacentral:misc_RNA from 1 species